CUCUUUCAUCAAACACACACACACGCCAAAUGAAGCCCGCUCCCUCCAUCCCUAAGCAGCAGGAGGAGGCUGUCAAGCACGCGGCCUGUGGCAAGAUGGCGGACUGUUGCCGCACCGUGAGCUUCAUUCACAAGCCGGCGGCUACUACAAACAUGGCGGGUGUGGAGGCACGCGUCAAGAUGUCCGAGCCUGCAAGAGGCCGUCAAUAUUUGUACACGUGCCGCCCGCCCCGUCCUCGCACUCCAGGGCCUGACCUCCAGGGGGCGCACCACGCCCAGCGAAACAGGAAGUGGGCUCUUGACUUCCGAUAAGAGUGUCUGGAGGCGUCGUCAGGUGUUGGUGACACUUCAGAUGGUUGAAGCAAUUCCAGUAUUCCAGUAAUUCCAGUAUCCCAGCCUCCCCCACGUCCUGUGGUCCUGUUGGUGACGUCAUCAAGAUAGGAUCCGAACCCUCCGUCACCGUGUCACCCUCGCUGCUCGCCUUCCUGGAGGUACCACAGCGACCCUUGACACCCAACAGUGGGCGACCGGGUUAUUGACCGGAGCUAUUGACUGGGGCGAGUUGGAGAUGAAGUGAGAGAAGCGGGCAGUGACCUCAAUCAAGCUCAGGUGGAGGAGAGGUUUGUCAAACAUUAUCUCAUGCUGCUCCCCUCCAAACCACCCUCCUGCUGUUCUUCAAGUUGUGGCUGUCCUGCAAUGUUCCCACCCUACCCACUACACCUGAAUUCCGGGUGGUGUGUAUCACGAGAUAUGAAAAUAUUUGUUAAAGUCGUAGGGAUAGAUGUUCUCGACAGUAAAUAUGUUUUGAAGUGAUGACAGUCGAUGCUGUGUGACAACUGUAUCAACUCAUUCUGUUGCAGUGAAUCGCUGUAGUCAUGCGGUGACAUGUGACACAAGAUAAACGAAGCGUGACAUGGAGGUGACACUGUCUGUCAGUUCAUGUCAGCGAGCUGUCAGUGACAGUUGUCUGCACCUGACAUUUGUCAACUUCAUGAUUUGCGUGUUUACACAGUGUAUUUACCUGCCUCCUGAUUAAAUGUCCACGACAGGUGUGUUUGAUGCUGACUAACCUCUUGUCUAUGAC